UACAGAGGGGGCGAGCGUUGUUCGGAAUUACUGGGCGUAAAGGGCGCGUAGGCGGCCUGCUAAGUCAUACGUGAAAUCCCUCGGCUCAACCGAGGAACUGCGUCUGAUACUGGUUGGCUUGAAUUCGGGAGAGGGAUGCGGAAUUCCAGGUGUAGCGGUGAAAUGCGUAGAUAUCGUAAGGAAGACCAGUGGCGAAGGCGGGUCUCUGGACAGUUCCUGACGCUGAGGCACGAAGGCCAGGGGAGCAAACGGG
rnacentral:rRNA from 1 species